rnacentral:rRNA from 1 species
CCUACGGGAGGCAGCAGUGGGGCAUAUUGCACAAUGGGGGAAACCCUGAUGCAGCGACGCCGCGCGAGUGAAGAAGUAUUUCGGUAUGUAAAGCUCUAUCAGCAGGGAAGAAAUAAAGUCCUUCGGACUUUGGACGGUACCUGACUAAGAAGCCCCGGCUAACUACGUGCCAGCAGCCGCGGUAAUACGUAGGGGGCAAGCGUUAUCCGGAUGUACUGGGUGUAAAGGGAGCGUAGACGGCAGCGCAAGUCUGGAGUGAAAUCCCAUGGCUUAACCAUGGAACUGCUUUGGAAACUGUGCAGCUGGAGUGCAGGAGAGGUAAGCGGAAUUCCUAGUGUAGCGGUGAAAUGCGUAGAUAUUAGGAGGAACACCAGUGGCGAAGGCGGCUUACUGGACUGUAACUGACGUUGAGGCUCGAAAGCGUGGGGAGCAAACAGGAUUAGAUACCCUGGUAGUC